UGACAGAGUGUAACGCAUUAUUAAAGAAUCUAUCUCCUUCAUUUGUUCAAUUGUUAUAUUUAUUACUUUUCCAUAACCAUUCUAUAUAUGUUUUGCUUCUCUAUCAUUGAAGAGCAACAGUUUUGCAAUCUUGAAGCAGCUUGGAGUUAAGAAAAUGUGUUUUCUUGAUGAUAUAUCUUGAAAAAUAAAAGUGUAAAUCUCGUUUGAGAUGAGUUUGAUAUAUUAUCAAACUCAGUGGACAAGUAUCAAGAAGAUACUGUGAUGAUUGGAGUAUUUCAUGCUAUGAGAUUAGGGCAUAUCUGGUGCAGCAGCAUAUAUAAAAUCAUUUCAUCCUAUAUGUCCAUUUAACUCUAAUGCCAACAGGAUCUCAUUGCCUCGAUCUUGUUUUCACAACAAAGUGAUCCUGAUUGGUUGAUAGAACAAAGACAAAAUGAAGUUGAGAUCAUUCAAGAAUGGAUGGUAUAACACUAAAAGGAAGAGAAAAACAAAGGUGUCAAUAUAUAGGAAAUAAAUUACAUAUAUAUUGUACAUUUUAAUUUAACAUCGAUGAAAUUUUUUAUUGGAUCAACUUCUUUAAUGAUGCUAAAUUUUUAAGUGGGAAUCUCAUUAUUGUAUUUGAUAACAAGAAGAGGCAGGCAUGAUAGUUAAAAUUUGUCACAUGUAAAAAUUGUUGGAAAUAAAUCCAAAAUCCAAAAUUUUGAGUAA